rnacentral:rRNA from 1 species
UACGUAGGGGGCUAGCGUUGUCCGGAAUCAUUGGGCGUAAAGAGCGUGUAGGCGGCCCGGUAAGUCCGCUGUAAAAGUCAAAGGCUCAACCUUUGAAUGUCAGUGGAUACUGCCGGGCUAGAGUCCGGAAGAGGCGAGUGGAACUCCUGGUGUAGCGGUGGAAUGCGCAGAUAUCAGGAGGAACACCGGUGGCGAAGGCGGCUACCUGGACGGCUAUUGACGCUGAGACGCGAAAGCGUGGGGAGCAAACAGG